UUCUGGGGCCAGUCUUGCCUGGAUUUUUACCCUCUUUACUUUGUUAACGAAGGCAUCAUCAGAUCUUGAAGCAUGAGUGGAUUUCUCUAACUGUAAAGCUGCCAAACUAAGGGUCUUCUGAUGGGGUUCAAUAUAGUGGUGUCCCAGGAGGAAUCCCUAAUUGUGGAGGGGUUUGUGGGAUUAGAUGGCCUCCAAGACCCAAGCUUCUAGAGCUCCAGUCUCUGUGCAGUCCAAGUGUUUUUUUGAAAGUCCUUGCAUUGGGGUCAUCUAAGUUCAGUCAUCUCACUAAUCCCAGUCCCCCUCCAACUUCUCCCUUCCUCCAGACCCUAAGAACUCUAGGUUGUGCUUUGGGUUGCUCCUUCUUCAGUAUUGGGAAGCUUGUAUGAGGAAGUAGAAAUAAGAAAGGAGAAGUAUCUGGAUGUGGGGCAAGAUGAUGGCUUUUGAGAAAAAAAAAAAAAUACCUAGAAGAUCAUAUCAUCAAGCACCAGGAUACUGAAGAUAACAUCUAGGCUCCAGGCCCAGAAAAGCAACAAAACCAGACAAGCAACACCUACCUCAGGACCAGCUGCAUUGGAUAAUGACCAUCUGUCCUGGCACCAACCACUCAAUCAGUGGAGACCUAGUCCCUGAAAGGACAUACCUGGAAAGCUGCCAAAUAUUCUCUUGAGAUCUUUCCCUAAAACCUCCGCCCUUAAACCUUAGGACAGAGGACUCUCCCUCCAGACAGCAAUCCUCUCCUUUCCCUUCUCCCGCCUCCCCAGGCAGGUUACCAUCACCUUCCUUACUCCCAAGUUCCAAGGGCCCUUCCUUUACCUCUAUAACUCCUAAGCCCAUUUCUUUUACAAAUUACUUCUAUCCUGUGAUUUUCCAAAUAUAUGUUCUCUUAGAGUUUGA